rnacentral:rRNA from 1 species
GACGAACGCUGGCGGCGUGCCUAAUACAUGCAAGUAGAACGCUGAAGAGAGGAGCUUGCUCUUCUUGGAUGAGUUGCGAACGGGUGAGUAACGCGUAGGUAACCUGCCUUGUAGCGGGGGAUAACUAUUGGAAACGAUAGCUAAUACCGCAUAACAAUGGAUGACACAUGUCAUUUAUUUGAAAGGGGCAAUUGCUCCACUACAAGAUGGACCCGCGUUGUAUUAGCUAGUAGGUGAGGUAACGGCUCACCUAGGCGACGAUACAUAGCCGACCUGAGAGGGUGAUCGGCCACACUGGGACUGAGACACGGCCCAGACUCCUACGGGAGGCAGCAGUAGGGAAUCUUCGGCAAUGGGGGCAACCCUGACCGAGCAACGCCGCGUGAGUGAAGAAGGUUUUCGGAUCGUAAAGCUCUGUUGUAAGUCAAGAACGAGUGUGAGAGUGGAAAGUUCACACUGUGACGGUAGCUUACCAGAAAGGGACGGCUAACUACGUG